rnacentral:lncRNA from 10 species
GUAAACUUAAAUAAGAGGAUAAAAAGCUUUUCUUGAGGACAAAUAGAAAAGACAUUCAGUAACUAAUCCUGAAAUCCCUUAACAUUCAAAGCAUAUUUGAUGAAGACACAUGGUGGGGUAUGUUGCUGACCGUUCAGCCAGAAGCCCAGAGUCUUGACUGAAGAAAUUUGUCAGCCUCCUUUGAGCUCCUUGAAGGGAUUUUUGUCCUCUGGGAUGCCCUUUACCAGUGGAUCCUCGCCAGAUUAUCCUUCUACGUAAUCUCUUCUUCACAACAUUUGCAUACCUUAAGGGGAAGGAAAAGGGAUGACUCAUUUGGUUUAAAACAGAAUACUCCAGGUGCCAAUAAUUUAUUUAUUGCACUAAAUUUUCAGGUUGUAUAUUUUCAGUUUAAUUCUCUCUGCUUUCCACCAAUGCAUGUGUACUUUGUAGGAAAGAAGAAAGUUGCACCAUCCCACUCCUUCUACAUAUAUCUCCAGACAAAGGAAAAACAGCUGGUCAUGCUCCAACUAAAGAUUCCCAGCAGACACUGCCUCCAGCAUUGAAGGAGACAAGACCCAGGAAUCAGAACACAGCUGGCAACAGAAGUCAAAGGUGUCAUCAGAUUUCAUAUUGAUUAAAUCUUUUUCCUCAUUCCAAAAAUGUGACUCGUAAAGGUGGAAGAGAAUGAAUAAUUAUUAAAUUCCAGGCUUAGCACCAUCCCUGAAUUCUCAGAAGUAUAGACAUGGCGUGAUCUCUGCUCACUACAACCUCCGCCUUCUGGGUUCAAGUGAUUCUUCUGCCUCAGUCUCCCGAGUAGCUGGAAUUAUAGGCAUGUGCCACCAUGCCCAGCUAAUUUUGUAUAUUUAAUUUAUUUCUUUGUUUUCGCAGUGACAGGGUUCACCAUGUUGGCCAGGCUGGUCUCGAACUCCUGACCUCAGGUGAUCCUCCCAUCUAGGCCUCCCAAGGUGCUGGGAUUACAGGCAUGAGCCACUGCACCCGGCCCUAAGAUUCCUUUUCUAGAUGAAGAGAAUGUUAAGUCAAAAGAUGAUCUGUAUCUGAUGCUCUGAGUGUCUUAGCAACUACUUAUAAUUCAUGAUAUGAAAAUGAUUUCUCUGGUCAGGAUGGUGACUCAGGCCUGCAAUACCAGUACUUUGAGAAGCCAAGGCGGGAGGAUCAUUUGAGAUUAGGAGUUUGAGACCAGCCUGGCCAACAUGGCAAAACCCUUCUCUACUAAAAAUACAAAAAAAUUAGCUGGGCGUGAUGGGACGGAAUUACUUGAACCAUGGAGGCAGAGGUUGCAGUGAGUCGAGAUCACGCCACUGCACUCCAGCCUGAGCAAGAGAGUGAGACUCUGUCUCAAAAAAAUAAAAUAAAAUAAAAUAAAAAAUAAAGAUUUCCCUUACCAUUUUUUUUUCUCUAAGACUUUAACUCCCAUCAUACAAAAUUGAUCAUUCUCAU